GAAGGGUGGCCGAGUGGUUGAUGGCACUGGUCUUGAAAACCAGCAAGUUAAUAGCUUCGCAGGUUCGAAUCCUGUCCCUUCC
rnacentral:tRNA from 1 species